rnacentral:rRNA from 1 species
GAUGAGCGCUGGCGGCGUGCCUAAUACAUGCAAGUCGAGCGAACGGACGAGAAGCUUGCUUUUCUGAUGUUAGCGGCGGACGGGUGAGUAACACGUGGAUAACCUACCUAUAAGACUGGGAUAACUUCGGGAAACCGGAGCUAAUACCGGAUAAUAUUUUGAACCGCAUGGUUCAAUAGUGAAAGACGGUCUUGCUGUCACUUAUAGAUGGAUCCGCGCUGCAUUAGCUAGUUGGUAAGGUAACGGCUUACCAAGGCAACGAUGCAUAGCCGACCUGAGAGGGUGAUCGGCCACACUGGAACUGAGACACGGUCCAGACUCCUACGGGAGGCAGCAGUAGGGAAUCUUCCGCAAUGGGCGAAAGCCUGACGGAGCAACGCCGCGUGAGUGAUGAAGGUCUUCGGAUCGUAAAACUCUGUUAUUAGGGAAGAACAUAUGUGUAAGUAACUGUGCACAUCUUGACGGUACCUAAUCAGAAAGCCACGGCUAACUACGUG